AGAAAUCGACUUUACAUUCCUAUACUGAUAAUGACAAUGAAGGACAAGAUGUUGAAUAAGAGACAAAUUUAAAAAAACAUACAAUCAAAAGCCAGUAAAAAUGUAAUAGAUAAACAUUAUCGAUCUGCCCUUGAAGAAACUCCAACGUACGCUGGAAGGUUAUCAAAACAAGAAAUAUUUAAAAAUCAUAUGACGACUGUAGUGAACAUUAUUCAACUUCAGAUUCUAUAGAUAAGCGUAAUUAUCAUCGUCUGAGCAGGAGUAGUAACUAGUAACAAAAGUAAUAAAUGGAACCAAAAAAAUUAACGAUAUUAAAAAUAAUAAGAAAAAGUGGUAACCGUGUUCAUCGAUCCAGUAGAACAAUUCCUAUUAGAAAAAAAUAAGAACCUUCAACUCCUAAUGUCAGACUUCGAGAUAUACCAAUUAGAACUACUAGUGAUGAAGAUGAUCAUAAUAUGUCUUAAUAUAAAUCUACUUGGGACAUGCCCACCCAGAUCAAGUAUUGAUGUCGAUCCUUUCUAAAACAGUGGUUCCCAACCUGGGGGGCGUAUACACAUCGCUGGGGAGGCAGAAGCAGUUAUCAC